rfam:Glycine soja cultivar W05 scaffold3432_12, whole genome shotgun sequence.
AAGUGAUGUGAUGUUGAUUAUCACCUAUCACCUUUUUAUUGGAUGAUGACGGUUAAUCAUGACAUGUGAUAAUCAUCAUCCAAUACAAAACGUGACACGUGACAGUCAAUAUCA